rnacentral:rRNA from 1 species
UCGGCGAUGGAUCAUUCAAGUUUCUGACCUAUCAGCUUUCGACGGUACUGUAUUGGACUACCGUGGCAGUGACGGGUAACGGGGAAUUAGGGUUCGAUUCCGGAGAGGGAGCCUGAGAAACGGCUACCACAUCUAAGGAAGGCAGCAGGCGCGCAAAUUACCCAAUCCUGACUCAGGGAGGUAGUGACAAGAAAUAACAACACUGGAAAUUCUUUUUCUAGUGAUUGGAAUGAUGGGAAUCCAAACCCCUUUCAGAGUAACAAUUGGAGGGCAAGUCUGGUGCCAGCAGCCGCGGUAAUUCCAGCUCCAAUAGCGUAUAUUAAAGUUGUUGCAGUUAAAAAGCUCGUAGUUGGAUAUCUGCUGGAAGCAGCCAGUCCGCCCUUUGUGGGUGUGCACUUGGUGAAUUCUGGCAUCCUCCUGAUUGGUGUCAUCAUCACUUCAUUGUGUUGGUGGCAGCUGUCAGGACCGUUACUUUGAGAAAAUUAGAGUGUUUCAAGCAGGCUUGUUGCCUUGAAUACUGCAGCAUGGAAUAACAAGAUAGGAUUUCGGUUCUAUUUUGUUGGUUUCUAGGACUGAAGUAAUGAUUAAUAGGGACAGUUGGGGGCAUUCGUAUUUAACUGUCAGAGGUGAAAUUCUUAGAUUUGUUAAAGACGAACUACUGCGAAAGCAUUUGCCAAAGAUGUUUUCAUUAAUCAAGAACGAAAGUUAGGGGCUCGAAGACGAUCAGAUACCGUCGUAGUCUUAACCAUAAACUAUGCCGACUAGAGA